rnacentral:rRNA from 1 species
CAAUAAGCGGAGGAAAAGAAACCAACAGGGAUUGCCCUAGUAACGGCGAGUGAAGCGGCAAUAGCUCAAAUUUGAAAUCUGGCUCUUUUAAGGGUCCGAGUUGUAAUUUGUAGAGGGUGCUUUGGCAUGGAUUGCGGUCUAAGUUCCUUGGAACAGGACAUCACAGAGGGUGAGAAUCCCGUAUGUGGUCGCUAAUCCUUACUGUGUAAAGCCCCUUCAACGAGUCGAGUUGUUUGGGAAUGCAGCUCUAAAUGGGAGGUAAAUUUCUUCUAAAGCUAAAUAUUGGCCAGAGACCGAUAGCGCACAAGUAGAGUGAUCGAAAGAUGAAAAGCACUUUGGAAAGAGAGUCAAAUAGCACGUGAAAUUGUUGAAAGGGAAGCGCUUGCCGCCAGACUUGCCUAUAGUGGUUCACCCAAGCGUUAUACUCGGGGCAUUCUUCUAUGGGCAGGCCAGCGUCAGUUUAGGCAGCUGGAUAAAGGUCUCUGACACGUUCCAUCCUUUGUAGAUGGCCAUAUAGGGGAGACGUCAUGCAGUUAGCUUAGACUGAGGUCCGCGCAUUUGCUAGGACGCUGGCGUAAUGGCUAUAAGCGGCCCGUCUUGAAACACGGACCAAGGAGUCUAACAUCUAUGCGAGUGUUUGGGUGUUAAGCCCAGGUGCGUAAUAAACGUGAACGGAGGUGGGAACCCGUGGGUGCACCAUCGACCGAUCCUGAUGUCUUCGGAUGGAUUUGAGUAAGAGCAUAGCUGUUGGGACCCGAAAGAUGGUGAACUAUGCUUGAAUAGGGUGAAGCCAGAGGAAACUCUGGUGGAGACUGGCAGCGGUUCUGACGUGCAAAUCGAUCGUCAAAUUUGGGCAUAGGGGCGAAAGACUAAUCGAACUAUCUAGUAGCUGGUCC